AACGAACGCUGGCGGGAGGCUUAACACAUGCAAGUCGAACGCAUCCUUCGGGAUGAGUGGCAGACGGGUGAGUAACGCGUGGGAACGUGCCCUUCAGUUCGGGAUAACCCAGGGAAACUUGGGCUAAUACCGGAUACGUGCGAGAGCAGAAAGAUUUAUCGCUGAAGGAUCGGCCCGCGUCUGAUUAGCUAGUUGGUGGGGUAAUGGCCCACCAAGGCGACGAUCAGUAGCUGGUCUGAGAGGAUGAUCAGCCACAUUGGGACUGAGACACGGCCCAAACUCCUACGGGAGGGAGCAGUGGGGAAUGUUGGACAAUGGGCGCAAGCCUGAUCCAGCCAUGCCGCGUGAGUGAUGAAGGCCUUAGGGUUGUAAAGCUCUUUCGUCCGGGACGAUAAUGACGGUACCGGAAGAAGAAGCCCCGGCUAACUUCGUGCCAGCCGCCGCGGUAA
rnacentral:rRNA from 1 species